CAAACCCACACGGCGCCGUGCCAGGAAGACUACCUACCGGAAACGGAAUCGCUCCGUUAUCUCCACCGAACCAUCCAUCCUCCGCCACUUCAUCUCCACCGCUGAGAUCGGAAUCACUAUCCCACUCCAUUUGAUUUUGCAUACACACCCACAAAAUAAAGCUUAAGCCCACUAAUCUUCUUCCUCAGCAACAGGAGAAGAGACCCAGAAGAACAAAGUUUGAUUUUGAAUCGAGGAAUCUGAUAUCUGUAGGUAAUCGAAGUCUCCACAGGAAAAAAGUUCCAAACUUUAGACAAACCCAGAAAUCGUCUUCUUCAGGAACAGGAGAUAGAAGAACAGAUUUUGAAAUGGAAUCGAGCGAAGAAAAGAGGAAUCUGAUAUUUGUAGGUAAUGGAAGUCUCCACCGCCCACUUCUAAGAGGAGGAGAAGAAGAAGAAGAGAGAUGAUUCGGUCGGUCGAUGACUCGGCUCUUCUCAGUGCCUCUCCUUUUCCAUCUUUAACCAGACCGGUUUCUUAAUUUUACCUUACCGGUUUAGUUUAUCUAUCCGGUUUACACAAAAUAUCCUUAAUAGCUUCAAGCCAAUCAAUAUUUUCCUCUUCUUCUAGAGCAACAAAAGCCGAUGCAUAGUUGGCUUGAGCAAGACAUCGUACUGCAGCCCGCCAGAAUGGUGUACGCUUCGGGACAUCAAGACGUCUAAGAGCGUUAAUAACAUCUUGAUACAAAAGUACAACACCCCGUCUUUCACGAUACUCCGUAAUAAAGUUUCCACUAUUUUCGAUCACGCUUUCAAUGAUAGACCUUCUUCGAGGUUGCCUUGCACGUCUAGAAGA